CCCUGCCGAAGUCGAACAGGUAGAAUAAUAGCUUUCCACACGUCACUUUGACUAAUUGCCACUUAUUCAUUCAUUAUCUUUUGUCUCUGUGUUUGAGAGAUUUCAUAAUGAAGCGUCCAGCAGUGCUAUUAAAGAGCAGUAAUGUGUAAAAGUCUGAGAGGAGUGAACCCUGAAGGAUGGAAGGUUGAGUCACCGUUGACUUUUCCCACUUAUUAAUGUACCAGCGCGUAACUCAUAACUUUAGACUUGAAAUCAGACCGACUCGACAGCGACCUCUAGUAAAAGCAAACUAAUACAAAUCCCAAAGUUAAGUAAGUUUUAGGUGGAGACGGCGAGUUCUUAACGAAGGCCCCCUCCCACCGCGUCGCUAUCGUCCUCUCCCAGGAAACAACGGGCCGUUUAUCGCCCGCCCCCAGAGGAAGCGGCCCGCUGAGGGGCAGCCUGCUGUGGAGGCGCUGGAGGCACCUUCCCUGACAUGGUAUCGCCUCCUCUCAGGCUGCCUGCAGCGCGUUCAAGGCUCCUUCUCAGGAAACAAAUCACUGACUCGAUUUGAACCAAAAACCUGGUAAAAAGAGGGAAAAAACAAAAUGGGAAGAAGAUCAAUGUGAUCAAAAUGUCCGUCAAACAGCCUUUUGUGUCCUGCAAAGAGUUUCUCUUUUUUGUUUUUUUUUGUCCAAGGAUUUGCAAGAAGUGACGUUUUUUUUGUUUCGAUAGGUGAAAAAUAAGGAAGGGGAACAAUCAGGCGAAGAAUGCAGUGACACCAGAAAAUGCUUUGGACAUUGAUUUUUGCUUUUGUGCACUGAAAGCAAGAGCUUAUUGUGGGGAAGUAGAGAGGGAGCGAGAGAGAGAGAGAGAGAGAGAGAGAGAGAGAGGUUAUGUCCUGAUUGGCAACUUAUUCAAUACAAUAACUGGUAUUUUUGCGUUGCCUUGAUUGAGAGGAUGAGAAGUGCUGGGUCGCCCUCCAAACACGUAGCCUUCGCAUACUUCACCUUAUUACGACGGAAGGAACAUUUUGGCUGUUCUUUAAUCUGUGGGUGGUGCUGCACCAUAAAACGGGCUCAAGCAGAGCUCAUGGUCUUGGAUAACAGCCUCGCCGUGAGGAGCAGCGUUCACGCCUGUCGUCCCAGGCCGUCGGCUCCAGCAUGUUUGUACAGUAGCAACGCUGCACUGCUGUGGAGGUCUUCACCUCUCUGCGAGUCUAAACCUUCACUGGACCCACUCCUGUGUAUUAACGAUACUGUAAGUCUUGGGCUGGUUCUGGUUCUGUUGCAUGCAGGUGGGGGCUAUUUUCUUCAUUUAUUUCUCAGCCAACAUGAACUUGAGCUACUGUGCCUCCCGUUAGCAGGCCAGAGGUGUCGCUCCUUCCUCGCGGUCCUCUGUUAGGAUUAAUCAUUUUUGAAUGAGCUUAGGAAACAAGCUGAGUUGCUGCUGCCUCUUAAUCAUCCCAGCGGUGCUAGUGGUGAAUUGCGGUGUGGGCGAACAAAGAUGACACAGUAUUUGUGCCGACCACUUCUGUCUGUCUUUGCUGUUUCACACUGGAACAUUUGCCUCAUAGGAAACACACUAUGUGCUCCCUCAAAGACCGUGUGGUUUUUCUCCGUCUCCAUUAAUUACAGAUGAAUGUUUAUUUUGUCUCCUCUGUAAUAACUUCCUGUGUGCUCAGGUAUUUUAAUCUCUUCUUAGAUAAGCGGUUCGUCACAUUUAACAUUCGGCAACUCUGCCACGACAAGCAGCGCUCCGACGAAUUAAGAGCAGGAAGAAGACUUUUAACGAAGACAGACUCUUCACUGCAGAGCGGUGAACUCUGUUUAUCAUCAUAAAUCAACUUUUAAUGGUUUGCAGCGCAAAAAACAUGUCACUUUGAGUAGAAUCUGUUUUUAGAAGCUAAGACGGGCAGUUCUAGAAGCACUGUGGUAAUUGACGUUGAACUCUCGAUAUGCAACAUGCGUUUGAGCGAGUUUGUUGCCAGACGUAGUGAUCGCCGUCAGGGAGAAACUUACAUCAGUGUAAUUUGUGUUUUGUAACAAAAAUACAGCAGCAGUGAUUUACUGUAAUGUGUGUAGCAUCUACCAGACGCAGGCAGCUCCCGCACAGGAUCUUUGUGCUUGGAGGCAGAUUCACUCCUAUACAUUGUGUUGUGACCCCUUCACAGUGCAGCUCGUUUUUCCAACUCUAAAACUAGCUCAGUAUUGAACCAGGUUAACAUUUCUAACAGUCUACUCAGCCAUUAUGAAAUGAAAGGAUGAGCCUCCAGCAUCCUGCUCCUUUGUCGUGAGCUCCCACUCUCGUUCUUUGGGAUGCGGUUUUGUCUUCGUCUAAAUAUUCCCAUUUAUAUGCAGGUGAGGGAGCAGGUGUAUGUCGGCCUAUUAUGCCUUUGAUUCCCAUUUCGUAAACAGCGCGUCAGAGAUGAUGGUGGAGAUGGAGAGCAAUCAGAUUUGAUAAUUAUAUCAGCUCUCCUCUGGAACACAACACUGAUAUUAGAGAUUCUGCUAAUGCAUCUUUCAGUUAAAUUUAGAAUUAAAAAGCUGCAUUAUUCAUGUCAGGGGUUGGAUAAUGUGCGAUUGGCACAGAACCUGGGUGGAAAAACUCACGGCUUGAUUCAAGGCUUGAUAGGAAGCAUGCGCCUGAGCUGAAGUGGAUUUGACACACACCGAGAUAUUUUAUUAAGUCUGUCUUGGCUGUGAUUGUUACUAGAUAGUGACGAACCUAAACUAAAUAUUUAUUGUACAGAUAUACAGUAAGUGUAAACAUUUAAAAAAUCUGUAACAAAGAGCAGCGGCGACCAUCCAAGGGUUGGAUGCAACUCAUCAAUACAAAAAAAGAGGCUGCUGUCCAAUAUUUUUUUUCAUUAAUGAUAAAAACAGAUAAAAAAUUAUAACAACUAAGAAACACUACAACAUUUACUGCCACUGAGCUCCAAAUUCAGUCUGUGUUGACCAGUUAACCAGUUAAAACACCUUGAUGGUCCAAUGACAUUAUUGUAAGGAAGUCACCUACAGUUGGUGGUUGAAACAGCCGGUAAUGCAUUGCUACUGUACAUGUAGCACCGCAAGCUGGGACCUGUCUCCCUGAGCUCCCACUAAUAAAUGCCAUUUCUGCAGAACGAGCGGCAGAACACGCUGCUGUUAAAUCUACAGCCACAUGUGUAUGGUCACAUGCGGCUGUAUCCUGUUCACCCAGAUUAAAACAUGAUCAGUGUUCAUUUGUUUUGACUUUAUGACACACAGGUUGAUUCAAAUGUCAAAAAGGUCGACAGAUCUUGAUAUUCUCUAUAGUACAUUAGUUUAAUGUGUCCAUUCCACUGUUCUGUUUUCAGUGCUUUUUUAUUAGACUGUCAUAUUCAAAUACUGUGAUAUGAUGCAAAUGUGAUCAUGAUCAUGUGGCCAUUUUAUGCAAAACUGUGUUCACCUCUGCAUGUGUUCAUGAGUGAGUUAUUUGCUUUGUGAUAUUUAUUGAUCAAGUACUGUAAUAAUUGGAUUCUAAUUAAGGGUGUGUCAACACACUGCAGCAUAUUCCUCUCAAAAUUUUAACAUCUGUUUCGAAGAUGUGCAUCUGGGAGUAAAACGAAAUCCCUUAAAUAAAGGCAAGUAGUGGUGGCUGUGGCCCAAAUGGACUGAUUUCGUUUCUGUGGAACUGUGUUUACAGGUCCAGCUGAUAGCAGUGAUGCUGGGACUUCAGCCAGUAAAUGUUACGCUUUGCCGACAUGAACAAAUAAUAGUCACAACCUUCAGAGGGUCAAAAGGUUAUUUAUUUGUCAAGAGGUCAGGAGAAAAAAGGAAGACGGAGCUGGUUUCACGAGGGAAUAUUCAGCUAAAUGGUCUGCUGAAUAUUCAGCAAUUACACUAUUCACUUAAAGAUUUGUACUCUGUGUCCUAAAAUGUAAAAAAAAGAAGCUUUUAUGACUUCUUGUGAAGCAUCCAAUGCAUGCUGGAGCAAGACACAUAUAAAAUGUAUAUAAAUACAAAAUUAAACCUUUUUCACAGACUGUUAACUGGUUCCACUAGAGCUCGGAGGAGCUUUAACAGCACAGAGGCCAGUUUCUGGAAAAAAUGCUGUAUCUCAGCGUUGUCUGAAACUGUGCCACCCUUGGAUUUUGGGCGUUUUCUCCAUAAAUAAGUCACACCUGUUCUUUGCUGCCUCACUUCAUCACUCCAAAAAAACUCUAUAGCUUCAGACCGUACAGCCUGUGGUCAAAUGACUGCAUACCAGCGAGGAAAGAAGGCGGGCGAUCCUCACUGACGCAGCCUCGGGUGUUUCGGUUGCAGAUGUCGGCUUCGCUGCCAGCUCCCUGAAGUCGGGCCCGUUUUCACGCGCCGUGGAACGUGAGUGAAGAUGGAACUCUACUUCUGAAGUGCAUCAAAAAGUCCUUUUGAUGCAAAACUUUGGCAUUAGCGGCAUUAGGGCCCGACGCUUACGGCUGCAUUUUCAUUAAGCGGCGCGCGGCGCUGCUCAGAGCGAGUCGGGCCGAGCCGAGCCGCAAGGUCGCGCUGUGUUUAACGUGAAGUGGCAGGCGGCGUGAUGAAACAGCUCCUCAUUGUUAACAACACAUGACUCGGGGGCCGUGAAACAACGGUGUCCCUCUGUCACGUCCUCCGUCCUCCAGCCCGAAUGGGGGAGCGUGUGCAGAGGCUGGUGCUCUUCUGCAGCACAGUCAGUCGCGCGCCGCUCGCCCCAAAGUCCGGGUUUCGCUCAGGAGCAGAACUGAGAUGUCCCGCGGCCGCUCUGUCCUCAAACUGCAAAGACCUGCUUCUUGUUUUAACUGUCUUUUAUCACCACUGGGCCCUAAACGCCUCGUAUAAGUUGAAGUUCAACAGUGCAGGUUUGGUUAGUAUUUACAUCUCUUAUCAGUCAGGAACACGCUGCAGAUAAGACAAACCACUACUUAGGUCAAAGUGAUAUUACAGAUGUUCGGUUACAACAAGCACAGGUCACAGUCCAGGCAGAUGUCAGUGUGUGUGCGUCUGCUUUCUCUUCCAUAUACAGACCGUGAAGCACGGCUCAAAAACGCUUAAGGGCGAGGUUUCUGACGAUCGACUGCCUCCGUGAGUGGUUGCGGUGGACGGAGCUACUCGUCACAUCCUUCGGACAUGAGACCAAGUGAAUCAUCAGAGCAGCGCUGGGCACAAACACGCUGGCUCUGAACUGUUAUGACUCCACAUCACUCCGCGUCCCAGUCAUCAAACACACGACGCUGAUAACAUUUAUUUGGCUUCGUCGGCGCCCCGGCGACGUCGGUUCCGUGCAGCGAAGCCUCCAGCUUUGAUCGAAGCUAGACCUGAAUCACAGUGAAGGAAGUCACAAAUCACCCGUCAUCCUGCUGGCGCUUACUGUAACUCCAGUGUCACCACGGGUUCUGACUUUAAGAGCGGUGAGAUUUCUUUUUCUCCAAUGUAAUUUGUGACAUUUGAGGGUUUUUUUUUUUUCUACUGGUGCGCCGACAUUUUGUAACUCACCUAAAUAAUCACAGACUAUUCAGAGGCUGCACAGUUUGUUUCGUGGUGUAGUACGAAAGGCAUUUAAACUUGGCUGAUGAAGACGACUGAAUAUCUUUUAAGGGGGAUGGAUGCACAUUUAGUGUGGAGUUAAAUCCAUCGCUGGAUAAUAAGGAACAGGCCCUGCCUUGUAAAUCUGCUUCAUUAAAUGUGACUAGAGAGCGAGACAUGUGUCCUCUGCAGAGAAGCCAAGCUGCCACAUGCACAGAGUGCAGGUCAUAUUAAAUCUCAGCUAGCUGAUGAGGGAGCAUGUGGGGGAAGAAGUGGACUGCAAGACGUUUUUACGCUCUGAUGAGGCCAAAUUUGAACUUUUGGCCGUCAGACUGAGAAACCCAGCUGCUCCAGCGUACGCGCCCUCGCUCACACUUCAGCCGUAGGAGCUUGAAUCUGUUAGGAGGAGUUCUUGUGGCCGUCCGCUCGUUUCAUCCUACAUUGUGAGUGAUUUAAUUUGCAUUGCAGAGUUCGACACCGCACCCGGACUUAAGGUCCUGUUUUUAGAUUCUGAUGUUAUGAUUUGGUUUCACCCCAUGCCAAGUGUCCUCUCUCUAUGACUCUGAUUGUCCUAAUGAAGACAUGUGUGAGACCAGCGACGGCACACGUUCUCCGCAGGCAGCCAAUGUUCUUUGUGUGCUCCAGGAAUAGAGGGCGUUUUAAUUGCUUCUAUCCAGGGCUGUGACUCGAAAAUGAAAAUCAGUUCUGUCGUGCGGCAUAAAAAAAAAAAAAAAAAUCUCGCAGCUUUUAUAACUAUUCUUCGCACACAGUGGAGGGGAAACGUGUUGUUCUACCACUAAUGGAAGAAUAUUUUUCCCGUUUUAGGGGCAGACGGUGCUUUUUGGAGCCUUGCUCCCAGGGAGCCAUUAAACGUUGCGCUUUUUGCCCAUCUCGCGCCUGAUCCUCUCCGUCUGCGUAAGCGGCGACGAGGUCAGCGCCCGUCUCUGCCGAACCCCCUGCUCGCCGCGUGCAUCCGCGUGGGCAUGGCAACCGGGCAGAGCAGCAAUAAAGGUGAGCGCGGAGGGAAGCGGUGAGUCAUCUUCAUCCGCGACCCGAGCGCCCGGAUCGAUAUAAACAAAGCGGCUGUGGUGGAGUGGAGGAGUGGCCGGAUCCAGGCAACCGGGCCCAAACACGCAGCUGGAGCACGCGUUCUUGGCUGAAGCGUCAUCACUAACA